UACGGAGGGUGCGAGCGUUGUCCGGAAUCACUGGGCGUAAAGGGCGCGUAGGCGGCAGGCCAAGCGUGCGGUGAAAGUCCGGGGCUCAACCCCGGAUCUGCCGUGCGGACUGGUUUGCUAGAGCACUGUAGAGGCGAGUGGAAUUCCGGGUGUAGCGGUGGAAUGCGUAGAGAUCCGGAAGAACACCGGUGGCGAAGGCGGGUCUCUGGGCCGAUACUGACGCUGAGGAGCGAAAGCGUGGGGAGCGAACAGG
rnacentral:rRNA from 1 species